GGUCCUGUGGUGUGGUGGUUAUCUCGUCUGCUUCACACUCACACGCAGAAGGUCGCCGGUUCGAUCCCGGCCAGGACCU
rnacentral:tRNA from 1 species